GUGUGUGUAUAUAAUGCAGUGUGUUUGUGUAGUGUGCAUUAUAUAAACACACUAUACAAACACACUGCAUUAUAUACACAGUGU